rnacentral:rRNA from 1 species
UACGAAGGGGGCUAGCGUUGCUCGGAAUUACUGGGCGUAAAGGGCGCGUAGGCGGCACUGUUAGUCAGGCGUGAAAUUCCUGGGCUCAACCUGGGGACUGCGCUUGAUACGGCAGAGCUUGAGGAUGGAAGAGGGUCGCGGAAUUCCCAGUGUAGAGGUGAAAUUCGUAGAUAUUGGGAAGAACACCGGUGGCGAAGGCGGCGACCUGGUCCGGUACUGACGCUGAGGUGCGAAAGCGUGGGGAGCAAACAGG